UUGACGAAUCAGGGUGCCACCCAGCGUCUCGGCGCCACCCAGCCCAGGUUCCUCUCUCUCCUUAGCGAACACCCGUCCCGACCCACAUCGGCGCCGCUACCCACCGCCGACGUCACCCCGUCGAUCUCCAUGUGACCUCGCCGCCGGCCAUAUCCUCCGCUCUCUCUCCCCCACAGCCUCCGCCCCACCUCCUCCCCUCCCCUCCCUUCCCCUCCCCUCAUCUGAAGAGAAGAGGGAGAUGAGCGAGCAGAUCAGCCGCCGGCCAUGGUCGCCCAAGGGAUUGACCUGGAGCUCCAUCCCCACAUCCGCGCGCCCGGACGGGACAUCCGACGGAGCGGCCAUGAGUGAGGAGACGGCUUCCCUCUCUUCCUCACCCCACCCCACCCUACCUCAGGCGGCGGCCAGAUCGAGCACGCCAGGCGGACUCACGCCGUCGUCAAGGUGCUUCUGCUCGCCCGUGCGGCUCCGCGUCUGCCUGCUCCGUGCCCACGCCAUGGACCUGCUCCCACCCUAGCGCAUCUGCUCGUCAAGGUUGGUGCAAGCACGCAGCUUCAGGCACAACCAGCGCCGAUCCUUAGCCAGCAUUGUUGCUGGCCAUACAUCUCGUGCACUUUUGGCUGGGAGAAGCAGCUCUGCCUGCUACUCGUCGACAGAUUGAUAGAUUGGGGUGGACUAGGCAAGCGAACCUCCAUGUGUGGCUACUAUGGCUCGGUGACUACUUCCUCCUUGUCCACUACAUCAGCUAGAUGACAGGGGUUUGGCGUUGGUGUCCACUCCUUCCUUGGUUCUGGUACUGGGAUUGGUUCAAGAUGCUGGUGCACAAGAGGGUGAUCGACCUCGUCAACUCCCGUGAUGCCAUCAAGCAGAUCACCUCGAUCACCAUUGAGAGGUCAAGGUGACCGUCAGCGACCAGUAGUCAUCUUAAAGGUAGCCAAGGACAAGCAGCUGCAGAUGAAGGACUGAAGGGCCCCGUGAGGAUGCCCACCAAGGUCCUCAUCAUCACCACCAAAAAGUCCGUUUGUGGGAAAGGUUACUAUUGUUUGGUGACUACUUCCUCGUCCACUACAUCAGCUAGAUGACAGCGGUUUGAUGUCGGUGCACGUGCCUUGGUUCUGGAUGUGUAUUGGCUGACGACUGCCAAAUGCUUAGAAAAUGUUUGUCAAUGAGACGGAUUGCUCCAUUGGCUGAUUACAUAUAUUUAUUGCAUGUGAAGUCUAGACAUUUCCUACCAGAUUUACAAGUAAUUUGUUGCAGGCUUGCUGUUUAACAUACUAGAUGACCCGGUUGCGCCAAUGGCGCAAGAAGCCAGUUAGAAGCAAUGUUAGUAGUGAGUAUAUGUGGGAGAUGUAGCUGAAAAUGUAAUGCAAUAUGGAUUGUAAUACAGAUAGUAGAAUGACUUAGAUUGGUGUACAGAAAUACAUACAUAGUAACUUAUUUAGGCAUCUUGUUAGUAGGACUGGUCUUAAGAGGGUGUGAACGUACGAAUAAGAAGUGUCAAUGUUGGAUAAUGCUUGCAUGGUACACUUCCAUAGG